rnacentral:miRNA from 1 species
UCUUUGGUACUUUAGCUGUAG